GGAUGUGAGGGCGAGAGGCUGCGACAUCUGUCACCCCAUUGAUCGCCAGGGUUGAUUUGGCUGAUCUGGCUGGCUAGGCAGGUGUCCCCUUCCUCUGUCACUGCUCCAUGUGCGUCCCUCCAAAGCUGCGUGCUCGGUGGAAGAGGACAAUCAUCCCAGAUAGAAGGAGUGUACCGUUCUUUGGUCAAGGGUAAUCAAUA